UUCAGUUUUCAGUUUUAUCAUGCUGUAAGUUAAAUAACCAAAAUUAUUUGUUCUGAGUUCAUUAAACUUAAACACUAAAACUAAAUUUAGUGUAUUGCUGAGAAAUGUCUAUAUGAUUUUUAAAUGCCUUUUUCUUGAUGACAAUAAUAAUUCACUUGAUAUAAAUAUAGGAAAUAAUUUAUUUAGUUUAUCACUGAAAGUAUAAAAAUUAGCGUGGCAAUGUGAAAUAAAUUGCAGAUCACUAUCCUAGGCUAUUUAAAACCAGUGUUUUAUUGGACACAUAUCGUCCUCACAACGUGACUCUGGACAAGAAAUAACACUUGACAGAACAACAGGCAGAAAAUGGGAAAAUUCAAUAAAUAUUCCUCUGUCAGCUUUCAGUUUCUUUGGUGAUAAGGUGUCUUAUGAUACUGGUAUUAUCACUGCUUCUGCUGCAAGGAGGGAUGACUACAGCUGAAAAGAAAUCUGUCUACAGCCCACUUGUUCCUUGAUGCUGCUAUCAAAACGACUGAGAUUACGCAUUCCAACGGCUUCUGUGAAGGAGACACAGGGUUUGUUGGAGAUCAGGUUCCGACCAAAAAGCCUUGUCCACAUGGAGUAUUUUUGUACCAGACAUUCAUCAAUUGACUACCUCCCGACGAUCUUUAUAAAUCCAUGAGCAGAUACAGAAGAAAAACAUCUUGCAUCACACUGACUCCUUCAAAACAGACCAUCCUAUCGGGCAAGAAAGUACUUUUGUAUGAUUUAGAUAAAUUUGCACACAUUUGAGUCAGUAAAUAAAACUGGACACUUCACUUGAACUCUGUGUUGAAAACUUGUAAAGUUACCUGCAUCACCACCACUGCAAAACAACCCUUCACUUUGGACAUGAAAGCUGUGGUAUGUGAUGUAUAUAAAUUAGAAACUAACUGAUAGAACUGGACACACUAUAUGAAUUUGCUCAGACACUAAAAGAAUUUAGAAACAGCGUUAUUGCUACCAGGACCAUAAUUUUUCAUCGGUCGUCAAUGAUGAGUUUGUUUGACCAUUUAACUCGUCCAUUACCAUUCCCUCCUCUCUGGAAUCACACUCUACGUAACGUCUACACUAUGUCCAAUCAAAGUACAUCCAACUGUCAAAUCUCCCCCCCCCUUUCUGAAACAUACUUGUCCUGUGUUUGGGGAGCUUAAAUAUUGCCACUGAUGGUGUCACAGUGGUAGUACACUCCUUCCAGAUGAUCAACACGAGAUCACUAUUUGUAGUGAAAUACGACGCAACAUAACUCCACUACAUCCUGAAGAUGAACAUCAUGGUACCAGUGAAACCAGCCAUCAAUCUGAUGACAGUCAAGGCAAAGGAGAAAGCCACCUGCUCUUUGUUGCCAUUCUUCAAUCCAAUUUCCACCACAACAUAUCCGCUGUUUUGGAUUCCAGAAGGGAGGAGAUAACCUCGUCAGCAGAGCCAUCAUCCAACAUGUUGGGAGUGUAUGAUUCUCAAAUGAUGAUAUGGUCAUUACCAAUGUCCAGGUGCAUUAUAAAAGAAGACAAAGCUUGUAUCUUGACGAUUCAAAGUGGGGACAGUAAUCUGUGCAGCCUGUGUGUAAUUAACAUUAUACUCAUAUGUCACGAACAACAUUACGCCUAGAACUGUGUUCGAUAAUAGUUCACGAUGAAUAGAUGCUCAAAAGCUGUGAGAUUAAGUUCCCAAGUGUGCCCAUUAUUCUUUUUUUUUUCUUCUCCUUCCUUGAAUUGCAUAAUUCCAACUCAUUCGAUACAAUG
rnacentral:lncRNA from 1 species